rnacentral:lncRNA from 1 species
GGUCCCAUUGGCAUGCUUAAUGGUCUAAUGCCAAGCUAGAAACCUAAAUACCCUUCAUUCACUGCAUUCUUCCACAUGCACACAUAUAUACAUUCAUCUAAUUGUCUUUUGGCAACUUCAUCCUCAAAUCUCCCUUACACUCUCUUUUAAUCAUACCAUUUUCCCUUUUUACCAACUUGAUUUAAGCGAUGAUCAUUUUUUCAGAUUGUUUAAAUACAAUUAUUUUGACAGAAAAGAAGAAUAAAUUAAUGGGUAGCUGAAAAGACCAAUGGGUAAAAGAUUAAAUGAAUGAACACAAAGGUAAAGCCAUAUGCAGAGUUUUUUCUUUAUUAUGAAUAUUUUAGAGCAUACAAAAUUUCAGAGAAUACUACAAAAACUGUUACUUGCCUA